rnacentral:rRNA from 1 species
UCCGUAGGGUGCAAGCGUUGUCCGGAAUCAUUGGGCGUAAAGCGCGCGUAGGUGGCUUCGUCAGUCCGUUGUGAAAGUCAAAGGCUCAACCUUUGAAUGCCGAUGGAUACUGCGAAGCUAGAGUACUGAAGAGGCGAGUGGAAUUCCUGGUGUAGCGGUGGAAUGCGCAGAUAUCAGGAGGAACACCAAUAGCGAAGGCAGCUCGCUGGGACGUUACUGACACUAAGGCGCGAAAGCGUGGGGAGCGAACAGG